GGAGAAGCAGGGACUGGCAAGUCCUCUGGGAGCGAGUGCUCUACACUGCGUGGGCCAGGCCCCACCUGAGGCCGCUGGUCUGGGUGCACGUAGGACCAGGACUGCGGCCCUGCAGGUGCCAGAGUUGCGGGGACAGGAAGCCACCGAGGACUCUCCCGUACCUAUGAACUCGUCCCAGCCCUUAUGCGUCUGGGCUCGCAGACUCUACCACAAAGCAGUGCCCGGAUAAGGGAGCUGAAGAUACCUGGAAUACACCUGUGCUGGGGCCCUGGAGGAAGGCUGCUCAGGCCGACAGCCUUUCCUUCUCAUGAGGGUGCGGUGUAAGCGAUGAAGCAAUCCCACCAGGGAGAGAGCAAAGCAGCCUCUCCUGAUGGGAGAAUGAACUGUUGGGAUCUUCCACAUAUACUGCAAAUGGUUUUUAAGAAAGCAGUGGCGUCGCAUUUGGUAUUAAUGUAGAAAAGAUGCUAACUCCUCAGUUGGAGUCUGAGCACGGGGUGGGAAUUACAAACCAGGGCAGAGAGAAAUUUGCUGAACGGCUGGGCCUAUGUUGACCACCCCAUGAGAAAGGUGAACACCCUUGGCAUGGUGAUACAUAUCUGUAAUCCCAACACUGAGAGGCAGAGGCAGGAAGACUCCCCCUCAAAUUCAAAGCCCGCCUGCCUACAUAGCAAGACCAUAUACAAAAAAAAAAAAAAGUGAAUAUACUCAGAACUCACUUCAGUGGGGCUAAUGAAGCUAGGGGUUGGCUAGCUCGCCAAGUGGUCUGUAACUAGAAGGCAUGAAAAACAAGAUGGAGUAGAUCGUCUGGUGCAAGCCCACAACCCAGAGCCCCUUCCUUCUGCAAUAUUCCUUCAGCCCCUUCAGAUAUGCCCUAUCACCGUAGUACAUGUAAUGUGUUGUUUGUCUGUUCUUGACAGUCAGGCAGUGGGUUUCUGGCUCCCUCUAUUCUAUUCACCUAUUUUGAGCCUUCUUUUGGAUGCAGUCUGUCAUGAGGACCCAUGUGCUUCCAUGUGCUCCCUCUUAAAUAACAGACUAAACAGCAGUAGCAAUGCCCCCCUUAGCUCUGAAACGAUACCUCACACCCAAGUCAGCCUGCAGGCUCGGGAGAUAUUUAGAGUCUAAGAGACAACACUGCAAAUAGGCCUUCAGGAAGCCCUGGGAACCUGGCCGCAAGGAAGCAUUCAUCCUGUGCCAGGUGGGCUGAGUCUCCUGACUCCCAGACUCAACGCUCUGUCAUUGGCGUGCGUGCACAUGAGGCAGCAUGGGAUGUGCACGUGCGGCAGGCAGGAGGACUGUGGGAUCAGGCUUCCCAAGAGCAGCCAGCCACCCAGAUUUUCCUGAAUCUCCUAAUAUGUGUUGGUACAUUUAAAACUUUGGGAAGGACCAAGUGCCAGUUCACCCAAGCGCAGACCCAAGUCAUCCCAUGGACACUUAGAGAAAUUCUGCAAGUGUCCACCCGCAUCUUACUUUAGUCUAUAUCCAACUAUGGAAAAUCUGUCAGGAUAAGUUAUAUUGUAAGGGCACACUUAUAGAACAGCAGACUUGUAGGCAUAGCAAAAGUUAGAAAUCAAUUCAUAGCCUGUGACUAUGCUUAUGUUGCCUGUCACCUAGAUAGUCAGCCUUAACUAUCCACUUCUCUUUGAUAAUGGGCUGGGCCAACUUGAGUGUGUCCAGGUUGUUUUCCGUAAUUAGAAAAGUAUACAUUGUUUCCAACUUGUUUCAGGGACUUCCUGUCUGGGACAGAGGGCCUCAAGGGCCCAUUUAAUUCUACUUGCUCUGCUCACACCUCCGCCCCUCCUUUCCAGAAUGUUAAACAAUUCCUUUUAAGUAAACCUGCCUGACAAAAUAUGAUGUAAUUCUUGUAUUCCAUGUAACCAAUCAUGUAAUAACCUGCAGUCAGCUUUACACUUCCCACUCAUAAACCAUGUUUAAACUGAACUCAAACCUGACUCUGGGCGCGUGAUUUGAGCCUCUGGGUUCCCCAGCCCACUAGCGUAAUAAAAGUUGCCUUCUAA